rnacentral:rRNA from 1 species
CCUACGGGAGGCAGCAGUGAGGAAUAUUGGUCAAUGGACGAGAGUCUGAACCAGCCAAGUAGCGUGAAGGAUGACUGCCCUAUGGGUGGUAAACUUCUUUUAUAUGGGAAUAAAAGGUUGGACGCGUGGGAUUGGGUAUGUACCUUAUGAAUAAGGAUCGGCUGACUCCGUGCCAGCAGCCGCGGUAAGACGGAGGAGACGAGCGUUAUCCGGAUUUAUUGGGUUUAAAGGGAGCGUAGGUGGGUGGUUAAGUCAGGUGGUAAAGUUAGGGGCUUAACCGGGACAUUGCAGUUGAAACUGGCAGUCUCGAGUACAGUAGAGGUGGGCGGAAUGCGUGGUGUAGCGGUGAAAUGCUUAGAUAUCACGAAGAACUCCGAUUGCGAAGGCAGCUCCCUGGACUAACACUGACACUGAGGCGCGAAAGUGUGGGUAUCAAACAGGAUUAGAUACCCUAGUAGUC